rnacentral:tRNA from 1 species
CCUUGGAUAGCUCAGUUGGUAGAGCGGUGGACUAGUUAUCCAUAGGUCGCUGGUUCAAAUCCGGUUUGAAGGA